rnacentral:rRNA from 1 species
CUGCUGCCUUCCGUAGGAGUCUGGUCUGUGUCUCAGUACCAGUGUGGGGGACCUUCCUCUCAGAACCCCUACGCAUCGUCGCCUCGGUGGGCCGUUACCCCGCCGACUAGCUAAUGCGACGCAUGGCCAUCCUAUGCCGGAGUCGCCUCCUUUGACCCCAAGAAGAUGUCUCCUAAAGGUGUUAUGCGGUAUUAGACGGAAUUUCUUCCGCUUAUCCCCCUGCAUAGGGCAGGUUCCAUACGUGUUACUCACCCGUGCGCCGG